rnacentral:lncRNA from 1 species
CCGACUCCCUGGGUUUCCCUCCAGCAUGGCCUACGCAGCACAUCCCGGAAGGUUCCAGGGAGGUGGGGGAUGGGGAGCCAGAGGACAAAAUCAUGGAAAUAGAGCCCCUUUCUCCCAAAGAGCAGCCAGCGCCUUAAUAUAAAUGUUCCUGGAAUCUCUGUGAGAAGGGGCAGAUGCAGCCCAAGCCUUACAUAUGGGUAAACUGAGGCACUGAGAGGCAGAGGGUGGGUGUGAUUAAGGUACUCUUGUUUCCCAGUGCCCAGGAACAGUCCACUCCCCAGAGAUUCAGGAGAAAGGAUGGGAACAUUCUGGAUGUUUCUGGGAGAGCGGCCAUGAGGAGGUUCAAUGACUGGGUGCCACGGGGUGCUCUAAAUUGGAUUUCACGGUCUACCGAGAGAGCUUCAGGAAGGCACCUUGUCGUGUGUGAUCCCUGCCUGCUGGGGCAUUAGGAGGGGUCUGCUUUGGCCCGUGGAAUGUGAGGACCACUUCCAGGCGGAAGCUUGAAGAGCCUGGGAGCAGCCGGCCACAUAGGAGCAUGCCUCAGGAUGGAGCCCCUCUGCCAGCACGGGCUCCUCAGAGACUGUGCUGAGCAGGCCCUCCCCUCCUACCCG